rnacentral:lncRNA from 1 species
GAAGGCCGUAAUGGAGAGACUGAUUGAUGAGUUGUUAGAGAAAGGGAUUUGUAACAUAGCCCUCUAUUCGGAGCCCCGAGUGCUGGGGUUUUACAGGCCCCUGGGGUUUGUUGCGGAACCUGGUGGCAUCCGUGGCAUGGUUUAUUUAAGAAAGUCCAAAAACAAGAAAUUAUAAUCUGUUAAAUUAAUUAACUAAAUUAUUUCAAAUGCAUUUCUUGUUUUGUAUUAUUAUCAUUGGAUACAAGAAAGAGUUUCUACAUUCUCACACUUAGAUGACUGAGUCCGCGACAACAAAAUUGAUCUUUGCUAUGAGAAACGUACCGCACUCACAUAAGUUCUUGCAUCAUUGCUUCUGUUCUUCUCCUCUAGCAAUGCCUGAAACAGUUGAUUAAUCAGAUAUCGAGGUUCAUAUCUUCUCAUUCUCAACAACAAAGAAAUUGUUUUAGAGCAGUGCAUGAUUAGAGAGGAAACUGGAAACUGGAAAUCGCUCUUGAUGAUUCAAAUUCAACUCUGCGAGAGGCAGAAAUUUUGGAAUUGGAUUUACGAUUAAGAGACUGGAGAUUGUGAUGAAUAUGUGCAAUGAUUGUAAAGAUGUUUUUUGGGGAUAUGCUGCUUACAGUAAUAGUACUACUAACUCAGUAGUGAUUAACAAGCUUCAAUCAAAAAUUGCAAAAGGUAUUCUUCACCCUUGCUGUACAAAUAUUUGUUGUCUAUUACCUUUUUAUUGGAAUUCGUAUUUGACAGAUAUAAAUAGUAACAAUCAAAUAGCCUUAAGAAGUUACAUACAAACGGUUGAUGAGUGGUUCGGCUAAAAGAUAUAUGUCUGAUAAAUAUGCUCUUAAGCUUAGAAUUGUAAUUCAUUCUGUUCUUUCUCCCCUAUAAAAGAUCGUGUGAUCCAAGAGGAAAUGAAUCCAGAAUCUAAUAACCAACUAGGCCUAAACUGAAUCCUAUUAUAUGGCGCACGUUGGAUUUUCGACAAGUUCGAAAAGCAUUGCCCACAAAUGCUAGUGAAAUCUAAAACUAGAUCAACAAUCUUUUAAGCCCCAUUAUGUAAUUGAAGUUUCUUCUCCCCUGCUUUAAACUUACACAGGCAUUUUCACAUGGCACAGCAAACUCUCUUGAACCCGCCAUCCACUUUGGCGUGUACAGUGCGAAUGAUUGUGAUAAUAGUAGAGGCAACGAUGGAUCUCAGUUCAAACAUACUCUCUCAUAUGUCAUAUAUACUAACACUAAAGAAACUUUCGGUCCAUUUCUAAAAUUGCUUUGCCUCAUAGCAUAACAUUGUACAGCAACAGUGACAGCGAAUUUUGGUGCCGCCAUUUAGUCUUUUUUCAUCUCCAAUCAUGACACUCCACCUAUAUAUUUAAUUUCAACCCAAUUUUAUAUCUACAUAUUGCAACAAUUACAACUAACUCUACACAAUAAAUUCUCCAAGAAUAAGAAAUGAAAAAUCAGAAACUGACAAAACUGAGAGUCUAAAAACACUAUAAUGAAUGACAUUCUUGAUGACCCAGAAGAUAAUUGAUGAAGAAGAAAAUAAAUGAUCAUCCAAAAUUGUGCUGAUGUAGCUGAAUUUGAAAAGAGUGAGAGAGGAUUACAACAAUACCUCCAAAAAUGGAUCAAGAAACGACCUUGGCGUUGUGCAAGAAAGCCACAGAGCAAAGAAUGGAAGUAAUGAAAGCGAAGAAACCUAAGCCGAUCACCAAAGAGAUCCCCGCUACUAUCAAAUCCAAUAUGCACUGCAAACUUAAUCCCAUAAAUGCCAUCAUUUCUUCCCCGAAAACGAUCUUUUAAAAAUCUAAGUUAAAAAGAGAAAAAGAUAGAAAUUUUGAGGUGGGUUUUUUGGCUAAAGAUUUCUGCUGAAGUUUGAGAGAAGAAAUGGGGCUGCUGUUCACUAAAUAAGAAGAUUAAGGAUCGAUAGAAUCAAGCGGUGAGAAAACAGAGGUGAUGGAGAGUGAAGGCUGAGACGAACGGUACAGUUGCUUUUUUUUGGGGAAACUCAAUUAUGGAUUAAUAGUUCCAAUCACACCUGCACAGUAAUAUCAUUAAUAUACAUAUAAAUUUUAAAUUACCCUUCAUAAAUCAUUUUCUUAUUUUUUAAAAACUCAAGUUAUCUUUAUUUUUAUUUAAAAGAUUAAAAAUAAAGCUGGACCGAUGAAUCUGUAUAAUCUUAACAAAAAUAAGAAAAAUUAA